AACUGAUACUACCUGCGGGAACCUGCGGAGGGAUCAUUAUCAAUUUACAGCGGACUUCGGUCCUGUCUGCACCCUUGUCUUUUGCGUACUAUAUGUUUCCUCGGUGGGCUUGCCUGCCGAUAGGACACUUAUAAACUCUUUUGUAAUUGCAAUCAGCGUCAGAAAACUAUAAUAGUUACAACUUUCAACAAUGGAUCUCU
rnacentral:misc_RNA from 1 species